rnacentral:rRNA from 1 species
AACGAACGCUGGCGGCAGGCUUAACACAUGCAAGUCGAACGAACCCUUCGGGGUGAGUGGCGCACGGGUGCGUAACACGUGGGAACCUGCCCUUAGGUUCGGAAUAACACAGAGAAAUUUGUGCUAAUACCGGAUAAUGUCUUCGGACCAAAGAUUUAUCGCCUUUGGAUGGGCCCGCGUAGGAUUAGCUAGUUGGUGAGGUAAAGGCUCACCAAGGCGACGAUCCUUAGCUGGUCUUAGAGGAUGAUCAGCCACACUGGGACUGAGACACGGCCCAGACUCCUACGGGAGGCAGCAGUGGGGAAUAUUGGACAAUGGGCGAAAGCCUGAUCCAGCAAUGCCGCGUGAGUGAUGAAGGCCUUAGGGUUGUAAAGCUCUUUUACCUGGGAUGAUAAUGACAGUACCAGGAGAAUAAGCCCCGGCUAACUCCGUGCCAGCAGCCGCAGUAA